GCCGGCUCCGGGUCUGGCCUCCGGGCGUCCCGCGCCGGUACCAGGCCCCCGAGCCUGAGGCUCUUAGCCCUUCGCGGACAAAGGAGAUCUCAGUUUGCGAAGGGCAAAGCUGCCUUUUCCAUCCUUUUGACGCAUCUUUGCGCGUCCACUCCCCGCUCUCUUAUUUGGACAUUUCACCCCGAAGACCCCUUGUCCAGCAGGGAGUGACCUCAUCAGCUCCCCUAAACUUGAAGUCAGGGGCCAUGCGACGCGGCUUGCCUGCAGGAUUUCACAGCCACUGAGUGAAGGAAGUUGUGGAGCUGUGUCUUACAGACGAAGAAACGGGAUCAGAGGGAUAAAGGAAUCUGCCCCAGAUUACCCACGUAGGGAAGGGUGGCGCAGGAACCCGGACCUCCAUGAUGUGAAUGAGCCCUUUGACAGCCUUUUUCUUCUCCUUACCUGUACCCCAAACCUCUGCACCUUUACCCCAGUUCCUCCUUGCUCUGGUGUAAACAGUGGUAACGGUCCCACUUGCGGCGUGCCCCCGCAAUGCUGGGUCCUGUUCCACAUGACAGACCACUGUAGAGGAAUUAUACGGACCAUUUUACAGAUGAGAACACAAGGCUCGGAGAGGUCAAGUUACUUGCUGCAGAACUGGGACUUGUACCCAGGUGACUUGACUCUACAGCAGAGCCUUUCAAUUACUCGACACCACCUUCCCCAGAAAAAGAGGAAGGCUUCCGAAUGUUGACAGUGGACGAUACACCCUCCCUUCUCUCUCCGACAGGGUCGCCAUCAAACCCAGUUGAAGAGGGUCCAGUGAGAGCCUAUUAGAGGCUUCACAACUCACUUGCCAGCAGCAGAUUUCUCCCAUCGCUUAGAGACUGCUCACUCACACCACUCCUCAGAAGACCUCCAGCAACAUACACAGCCAGGAACGACAGGAAGGAAGGGACAUGACAUUUACUGAACGGCAGUGCUGAACCAGGCACUGAGCCAGGGCCUGUUACUAAGGGCAAAGCUGGGAGGGAUAUUACCAGCCCAGGUUUGCAGACGAAAAAGCGGAUUUUUUUUUUUUUUUUGAGAUAGGGCCUCACUGUCACCCAGGCUGGAGUGCAGUGGUGCGAUCUCAGCUCACUGCAGCCUUGAGUUCCUGGGCUCAAGCGAGCCUCCCCUCUCAGCCCCACGAGUAGCUGGGACCACAGGUGUGUGCCACCAUGCCCCAGAUAAUUUUUUAAAGACUUUUUUUGUAGAGAGGGGGUCUCCCCUGUGUUGCCCAGGCUGGUAAAUAUUUUUUAAAACCAAAGUCAGAUGUCAAGGAAGUACAAGUUUCAGCUCAAAUGUCCAUCCCACAGAGAAAGCCCUUUCCCGUUUCCCUAAACGAAUUCUCCAUGAAUUGUUUUUAUUUGUCUCUAGUGCUUGUUGAAACUUGAAGUUCUAUAUUUGCGUGUUGAUAUAGUUUAAUGGUGAUUUCCCCCAAUGAAAUGAGAGCAGGGACUCUGUUUUGGUCUGUUUCUUUCAUUUAUCAUCUUAUCCCCAACACCUUCGCAGUGCCUGUCAUAAUAUGACACUGAAAUAUUUUUGGAGUAAAUGCAAAGAAUUGGUGGCUUAGGAUGGUGAGCAGUGCUGCUCAAAACUCAGGUUUGUUUGAGUGUAAAGUGUGGUCUUACUCCAUACUUUCUAGGAAGUUCAAAAGCCCCUUGCUACAUAUACUUUACUUACAGUGAAGUCCCUGUGGUGCUUUUCAGAGCCUAUUAAUUCUUAAGUGUACUACAGUAGUGACAAGUUUGGCAUUCUGGUUUCCCAAUCAGUAGUGUCCUCUGUUGGUAGCUGAGAGGAGAGGAAAAUCAGAGGAACUGAGUAGGAAAUUAGGCGUGGAAGGGACAAGGUUAUACAGCUUAUGCUCUCACCUUUAAUAACAGCAAGGAAGAAGACGUAAAAACUACAAAAAUCAGGCUGGUGCAGUGGCUCAUGCCUGUAAUCCCAGCACUUUGGGAGGUUGAGGCAUGAGGAUUGCUAGAGGCCAGGAGUUUGAGACUAGCCUGGGAGACAUCAUGAGACCUCCUGUCUCUAUUUAAAAAAUAAAAACAGGCCAGGUGCAGUGGCUCACACCUGUAAUCCCAGUACUUUGGGAGGCUGAGGCGGGCAAAUCACUUGAGGUCAGGAGUUCGAGACCAGCCAGGCCAACAUCGUGAAACCCCAUCUGUACUAAAAAUACAAAAAUUAGUCGGCCAUGGUAGUGCGUGCCUGUAGACGCAACUGUUUGGGAAGCUGAUGCAUGAGAAUCGCUUGAACCCAGAAGGUGGAGGUUGCGGUGAGCUGCGAUCGCACCACUGUAUUCUAGCCUGGGCGACAGAGCGAGACUCCAUCUCAAAAAACAAAACAAAACAAAAACAAGGAAACUACAAAGACCAGACACAAGGAAAACACACAAAUGGUAAUCACAAAACUUUUCUUAUGGGCAAAGGGAGGGAAGAAGAUGGAUGGAACCCAGGAGAUAUACACAAGGGGUUUCUAAGAAACUAGCAGUUCUCUACUUUUUAAGCUGGGUACACGAGUAUUUGUUAUUUUUUGUUUUUAUACCUCAUACAUGUUAUUUUUUUAAGGCCACAAGCUGAAAUUUUGCUUACCCACUUUAAAAAUAGACUAUAACAACCCCAUGAGGGGGGAAAUUGUCACCUCCACUUUGCAGAUGAGAGAAACUGAGGCUCAGUUUCAGAGAAGUUCACCAUUUUGCCUAAGCUUAUAGAGCUCAGAUGUAGCAGAGGUGGGAUUUGAAUCCAGGUCUCUGAUGUCUGUACAGAUGCUCUUACCCACAACAUCUGCCACUAGAUAACUGGACACUCACUAUUAAAACCAGAGCUGAUGAAAAUGUGUCAUUUUCUCCCUCUCACCCCCAAUUUCCUAUAAAGAUCCUCUCUCUGCUCUUCUGGCGAGGAGGGGGAGGAGGAGGCCGCGAUCGCCUCUGGUGCUAUGGUCCCAGGGGCCAGCUGGCAGAGUCCUUGGGGCCAGGCUGAGGCCCCAAAAGAGUUGCUGGGCUGUGAGUAAAAAUCUUCCUGUCAACAGCAGCAGUGGGGUACCCAAUUUCAUUGGCCAUGGUUCCCUUGAUCUAAGAGCAUCGGCCCCAUGAACAGGAAGGGCCCAGCGCACGUGCCCCAGCAACUGCAUCAGCAGCUUCCCUACACACAGGGCCCUGCUCCCCAGUACCCAGGAGAGGCCUAAUUAUAAGAUGUUGAUGAUUAAGCCCAUAGUGGCCUGGGACCCUGUUAGCUACGAAAAGGCGUU
rnacentral:lncRNA from 10 species